rnacentral:rRNA from 1 species
UCGACCCCUUCUGUGCCGGAGUUAACGCAAUAAGUACCCCGCCUGGGGAGUACGACCGCAAGGUUGAAACUCAAAGGAAUUGACGGGGGCCCGCACAAGCAGUGGAGUAUGUGGUUUAAUUCGACGCAACGCGAAGAACCUUACCAAGUCUUGACAUCCCUUGACGAUGCUGGAAACAGUAUUUCUCUUCGGAGCAAGGAGACAGGUGGUGCAUGGUUGUCGUCAGCUCGUGUCGUGAGAUGUUGGGUUAAGUCCCGCAACGAGCGCAACCCUUACUGUUAGUUGCUACGCAAGAGCACUCUAGCAGGACUGCCGUUGACAAAACGGAGGAAGGUGGGGAUGACGUCAAAUCAUCAUGCCCCUUAUGACCUGGGCCACACACGUACUACAAUGGCAAUGACAGAGGGAAGCAAGAUAGCGAUAUGGAGCAAACCCCUAAACAUUGUCCCAGUUCGGAUUGCAGGCUGCAACCCGCCUGCAUGAAGUCGGAAUUGCUAGUAAUCGCGGAUCAGCAUGCCGCGGUGAAUACGUUCCCGGGCCUUGUACACACCGCCCGUCACACCAUGGGAGUCGGUAACACCCGAAGCCAAUAGUCUAACCGCAAGGAGGACGUUGUCGAAGGUGGGAUUGAUGACUGGGGUGAAGUCGUAACAAGGUAGCCGUAUCGGAAGGUGCGGCUG